UACGUAGGGGGCAAGCGUUGUCCGGAAUCAUUGGGUGUAAAGCGAGCGUAGGCGGCCCGAUAAGUCUGCUGUAAAAGUCAACGGCUCAACCGUUGAAAGCCGGUGGAUACUGUCGGGCUAGAGUUCGGAAGAGGCAAGUGGAAUUCCUGGUGUAGCGGUGGAAUGCGCAGAUAUCAGGAGGAACACCUAUAGCGAAGGCAGCUUGCUGGGACGAAACUGACGCUAAGGCUCGAAAGCGUGGGGAGCGAACAGG
rnacentral:rRNA from 1 species